GAUGAACGCUGGCGGCGUGCCUAAUACAUGCAAGUCGAGCGAACAGACGAGGAGCUUGCUCCUCUGACGUUAGCGGCGGACGGGUGAGUAACACGUGGAUAACCUACCUAUAAGACUGGGAUAACUUCGGGAAAACGGAGCUAAUACCGGAUAAUAUAUUGAACGGCAUGGUUCAAUAGUGAAAGACGGUUUUGCUGACACUAAUAGAUGGAUCCGCGCCGCAUUAGCUAGUUGGUAAGGUAACGGCUUACCAAGGCAACGAUGCGUAGCCGACCUGAGAGGGUGAUCGGCCACACUGGAACUGAGACACGGUCCAGACUCCUACGGGAGGCAGCAGUAGGGAAUCUUCCGCAAUGGGCGAAAGCCUGACGGAGCAACGCCGCGUGAGUGAUGAAGGUCUUCGGAUCGUAAAACUCUGUUAUUAGGGAAGAACAAAUGUGUAAGUAACUAUGCACGUCUUGACGGUACCUAAUCAGAAAGCCACGGCUAACUACGUG
rnacentral:rRNA from 1 species